GAACGCGUUGUGGCAUAUUAAUUAUUUUUUGUUUAUUCCUCUUUCUGUCUCUCAUAUCUAUUUCAUCUUCUCCCUCAGCAAUUCCUCACCGCCUCCAUCCACUCUCUCACAUAUCUCUUUGUUCUUCUCCUUCAGCCCGAUCUACAUAUGUGCCUCCAUCUCCACUCUCUCACACUCUUUCUUCUUUCCUUUCCCCUUUUGCUCUAUUUUCUUCCCAUUCAUGAAUAUGAGCCACCACCGAUUUCCUCUCUACCAUCACUGAUCUAAUUUGUCCCUUCACCGGUUUUUUUUUUCCCCUUUUUGUUCGCUCUCUCCUCUCUGUUCUAUCUCAGAGUCGCCUAUCGGGUUGUGGGUUUGUGAUUUCGGAUUGUGAUCGGUGUGGGUCUCUGGGUUGUGGGUAUCUCCUCUCUGUUCUAUCUUGAGUCGCCGAUUCGGUGUUCGUCGUUCUCAGAGCGUCGAUUCGCUGUUCUAUCUCUGAAGGUUUCAUCGAUUCACCGUGAGCCAAGUUGGUUUCAUCGAUUCGUUCUCCGUCAAGGUUUUAUUUUUGUGCUUGCUUUUUUUCGUUACUGAAUUUGAAAGCUUGAACCUUUACCACUAAUUGGCUUAGUAUUUUUAAAUUAAAUAUUAUAUUUGAUGUGGGUUUUUAAUCUUAUCAUCUGGGUUUUAAUUAAUUUGUGGGAUGGUGUGUGUGAGAUUUGUAACCAUGUAUAGUAAAGUUGCUGUGUAUGUACAAGUGUACCGUCUAAAGGUCAGAUUAUAUGCUUGCUGUGAUGAAAGAGUUACUUCCCCUGUGUAAGGCUUUCUUGCUGCUAUUGUCUCCACUGUCUUCUCUCUUGACUUUCUGCUUUGCUGUGAUGAAAGAUUUUUGUUCUUUUGAUAAAAGCUCUGUUUGCCUCUAUGGGAAAAUACCCAGAAAAGUUUUCGAUGAAAAACAUGGUUUAAUCAAGCUGUUUAAGGAAGAAUAUAGUAAUUGUUGAUUUAGAGAAGCAUUUUUGUUUGUAAGAAGUAAGAAAUAAAGGAAAGGAAAGUGCUUUUAGGAUUUGCUCAAUAAAAACCCAGUAUUGAAUUCUUUACUAUUUUCCUUGUUAUUUACAGAAGACAGAAUUCAAAAGGGAGAGCUAAAAUUUAGAGAAAUUGGGUGUUUGCUACAAAUUAAAUGGAAGUUAGGCUUUUUGUUUAAUUAUUGAUCUUUGCAUAUGGAACUACGGCUUUAUGUACAGUGAAGAAAGUAGUAUUGUUCAUUCAUUUUUUUAGUUGUAAUUGUUCUUACUUUUUGCUUUGGUUAGGGAAAGUGAAUAAUUUCAGGUAAUUUCUUUACUUGUUAAUCCUUUUUGCUUUUGUAUAUAUUGGAAGGAGCAAACACUCCAAUUCAAACUCUGUGUCUUUUGAAGUAAGGGUAGUGUACAAUGAAGAGAGCAUUGAUUUUAAUGGCCUUUAACCAUUCGUUUGUCUUUUUUGUAAUCUCUAUCUGUUCAACUAUGUAUUAACUAUUAAGGGUCAUGCAAAUGUGAGUCUUGUCAAUUCAAGGUCUAAACUGGCCAAAAUAUGACAGUUGAAUUAAGAGGAUUCUUUGAAAAUGUUACCGUUAGAAUUGAUGAGAUUUGAAAAUAUGACUGGUGUAGGAACAAAUAUUACCGUUAGGAACAAAUAUAAAGAAAGAAUAAAAUAAGAAUUAAAAAGAAUUAAGAAAUAAUAUUUAAAUGAAAUGGUAAAAAUAUAGAACAUCUGAUAAAUGGGAUAUUGUAAAAUGAUGUGGUAAAAUAAUAAAGUAGGCUUUUGGUGUGGCAAAAUGACAUAAUUUUUACAACGGCUGCUACAGAUGCUCUUAGGAUUGGGCAAAUACCACUCAAGUCUAAAAUAUUUCAAAAUUGAGCAAUUAGGUCCCUAAAAGACAUAUUAGUCCCUAACACCCUUAACAGUGUUACCCCUCCCUCAUUUUUCUUUCCCUCACUUAGAACUCUAUCUAGUCUCUUCUCUCUGGUUCCUCUUCCUCUUUCAAUACCAGCCAAAGCCAUAACAAAAAAUCCCAAAUCUUACCACAAAACUCAAAUAAUAGAUGGCUCUUGCUUUUCGUUUCUUGCUUAUAAAUUCCCCACACAACAAACGAUUCUCUCUCUUUCUGUGGAGGAAAAAACACUGAAAGUUGAAAUAAAAGGCUGAAAGGAAAACAAAGUGCUGAGAGAGAACCCCAAAAAACAAUGGCUCUCAAACUCAGUCUUUUAACCUCUCAACCUCCAAAGCUGCCAUCUUUUACUCUCCAGCAAAAGUCCACUCUCAGAUCUCCCAAGUUCUUCAUGGCUUCCACCCUCAGCUCUGCCUCUAAAUUCUCCCAGUGGGGGAUUGCCAGCCCCCAUCCUUACACUGUUAAAAGUUCAUGAUUGCCUUUGUCUCAAGUCACUUCCUGAAAACAUGGAUACGCUCCUCCCAUGUCAUCAAAUUUUGGAUAUUGCAAACUGUCAGCAAGGAAGAGAAGUGCUUUCCUGAGGAGGACUUCCACAAGUCUUAGCUCUCGUCCUAUAAAGGAAUUUUAAAAUCUGAGAUCCCUAGACAAGAAGGGCCUUCAACUCCUUAUCUCUCUUCAACUAUUGUCUAUCUCAGACUGCCCUAGACUAAGGCAAAUGCCAGAAGAUGGAUUUUCUUGUCUCCAUUCUGAGAUACAGUUUCAUCAAUGUCUUUCCUUGACAAAACAGUACCAAAAAAAAAAAAAAAGAUUAAAAGUGUGGCGCAAGAUUGCUCACAUCUCUAUCAUACAAUCAAUGAUGAAGUCUCAUUAUCUGAGCCAAAAGUGUAGACGAGAUCAAAUCCCACUUCACAGUAUGGUACUUGUUCCACUUUACCCUCUAAGCCUCCAUUUGAUUUUAUUUAUGCUUCUUUCUUACGUUGUUUAUGGAUAAAUAAAUUUGAAAAAUUUGUUAAUCUGAUAAAAAAUGGAAAAAUAAAAGGAUUUCUUCUAAGAGUGUUAGUCCGAAGCUGGAGUUCUCAAGUUUUUGUGGCUUGUUUUGUAAGAUUAUUUCCAUUGAUCAGUAGCAAGCGCCACAAAAGGCUUGGUCAAACACAUGCCAGAAGAGCAGUUAACAAAACAAUUGCCAAGGAAGAAGGGAAAAUAGUGGUGAAAGAUUGGUCACAUCUACUGCAUAAAAAAGGAUGCCCCAACCCAAAUCAGCAUGUGUGCAAAAAAUCAGGACAAGAUUCAAAGAAUUGCCCUAAAAAGGGUCUUCCUCCAAAAAUCAAUAUUUCCUAGUGCUAGGAAGGAUCUGCUCCUAAACGCUCUUUAGGGAGGAGUAGUUUGGCAAUGCAUGAUGGCAACCCUCCAUGAGCUUGGCCAUAGGCAUGCUUAAGCAAAGGUAAGAUCGCCCACUGUAUUGCUAAGUGGUUAGUCUUAUCUCAAGGUGGUUUCAAACGAUAGGCCAGUGAUAUUAAUUUGUAUCUAUGCAAUCCCACUAUAUGUUUGCAUAGUCUAGUGAUAUUCAUCAAUCACCUUAUAAUUUUUUGGCUUGAGUGGUUAGUAUUGAUUGAUGAGUGUCCUAAAAAAUUUAAAAAACAUGAAUUAAAACUAUGGUGUGACACAUGUAUGAAAGCAUGUCAAUUUCCAAAAAUUAGGUAUGUAAGUCUAUAUAUUUACAAUUGGUUAACUUUGAAUAUAUAUAAAUGCUUAUGUGAAUUGAAAAUAAUAUUUCAGAUACAGGCUUGAAAUGCAAGUUGGUGAUACAACAGAACAUGCAAAUUUUGUAGUAUUUGUCAAGAAAGAAGAGAAGUUGCCUGGUACACAACUCUUCAAUAUGGAAGAAGGAUGAGGAUGGUGACAAUAUUAUUCCACAUUGUAUCAAAUGCAUAAUUGGAAAAACCUACAUCUUCCAAGUGAAAGUUACAAUUUCUUCAUCGGCAAACAGAACUUUACGGCAACUGGAGUAUUUGAAAUUGAAGGAAAUGAACAAUAACAGGAAACAACAAAAAGAGGGACUAAGAAUGGAAAUGAAGUAUCCAAAGAAACAAUUUUUGCUGAAGUAAAGAAAACAAAAAUUUUGAAGAAGUACAAUUGCACAAAUAAAUAUUAUUUGGCUCUUUUUUAAAAUUCUUACAAUCUUUAAUUUCCUUAAUAAGAAAAUAACUUUUGUAUUUUUUCUGUUUUGCUGAUAAAUCCAAAAUGAGAAUGUGGAAGCUCAGAUAGAAGUGUUAGAUGAUUAGCGAACAUAGAAAAUAUUUAAAUGAAACUUUGAAUAUUUAGACUACAAAUCAGGUCGUGAUGUUGUGCUUUCUGAUAGAAGAAUAGAUACUUCACAGCCUAACGACUAGUGAAGGUCAUAUUUUAACUCUGCAGCAAAACGGCACCAUAUCUCAUUAUUACAAACGGUGACGUUUCGGGUUUUAAAGAGAAUUCUUUCAGUCAAGCUAUACGACAUCGUUUAGCCUUAGAGCUUCAGAGUCCGUGUUAGCAUCUUCUUCAAAGGAUUAGCUGCUGAGAUAUUUUUUUGUAAUUAGAUAUUUUCUGUUAAGAGCACAUUAAUCACACGUGUAAAUAGAGUGUAACUGAUUCCAAGCUUUACGGAAUUAUUGUUAGUUGGUUAGAUUAGGUUUAAGCUUAUCUCUUGAUCUAUAUGUAGAGAACUAUACCCAUUGUAUUAUUCAGUUAGUAUUGCUAAUAUUCAACCAGAUAGAUUUUACUCUC